rnacentral:rRNA from 1 species
AUGGUGAGGGUGGUGCUGGCUGUGGCCUCCCGUGCCUCUAUGCGUGGUCGUAAGCCUGGCUGGCAUCUCGACUUCAUCUACUGCCUGGCUCCCGCCCCCAGCUCCUCAGCAGCACGUACAGUCGUACACUCGCCGUCACCGCCCUCCAAUUUUCCAAUUUCUGGGGCAACUAAUUUUAUCCAUAAUCUAGCAAUGAGAUUCUGUGCUGGCGGCCUUCAAGUCAAGAUGCAAGGUAAUCAACCUGCAAGCUUGCAGCAACAUACACAAGCCCUCCCAUCAGCAUUACUGAGUCAACUUUUCUUGUAA